GUUUGUAAUGGUUUUAAAGUGAUUCAAUUGUCGUAGGAGUGAACGGCAGAAAACAAAUUAUGUCAGGCAAAACAUGUGUCUGGUUAUGUGAACAGACAGGAUUCAGAAAGUGAAGUGGGAGAUAGUACUGCAACGAUCUUUGUGGGUAAAACUGAAUUUCAGGAUGUACUGUUCUGUUUACAACAUAGGUUAAAUAAAUAUUGUCAUUGAAUAUUUAAGUAAUGUAUAUACCUGGUCCACAUUCGAGAGGCUUCACAAUACUGGACUUUUGAUCUUCCCCAUAAAAGUAGUAAAGACUUUGCAGCUUCUGGUGCCUCUCAGCAACUGUAAAUGGCACAUUGAUGAAAUUUCCAAGGGAAACAGCAACUUGCUUGAAGUAUGUGUGCUUUGACUCAAACCUCAUGCACCAAGAUCGUACCAUUGGGCCAAGCCUGCAAAAGUAUUAAUUGUGAAACUUGUACAUUGCCUUGUACUAGACUAAAUAUCACAACAAUAAGGUUUCACAAUGUUAAUUACAUUACUAAAAAUAAUUGGCAUGCCAUUUACCAUUAGCCAUAAUAUAAUUUUGUAUAAUUCUA